rnacentral:rRNA from 1 species
AUUGAACGCUGGCGGCAUGCUUUACACAUGCAAGUCGAACGGCAGCACAGGGAGCUUGCUCCUGGGUGGCGAGUGGCGCACGGGUGAGUAAUACAUCGGAACGUGUCCUAUCGUGGGGGAUAACUGAGCGAAAGCUCGGCUAAUACCGCAUAAGACCUGAGGGUGAAAGUGGGGGAUCGAAAGACCUCAUGCGAUUGGAGCGGCCGAUGCCCCGAUUAGCUAGUUGGUGAGGUAAAGGCUCACCAAGGCGACGAUCGGUAGCUGGUCUGAGAGGACGACCAGCCACACUGGGACUGAGACACGGGCCCAGACUCCUACGGGAGGCAGCAGUGGGGAAUUUUUGGGACAAUGGGGGCAACCCUGAUCCAGCAACGCCGCGUGAGUGAAGAAGUAUUUCGGUAUGUAAAGGCUCUAUCAGCAGGGAAGAUAAUGACGGUACCU